CAUCCUGGGGCUGUAGUAGGUCCCCAGGGUUGGGCUGUUCGCCCAUUAAAGUGGUACGCGAGCUGGGUUCAGAACGUCGUGAGACAGUUCGGUCCCUAUCCGUCGCAGGCGUAGGAAAUUUGAGAAGACCUGUCCUUAGUACGAGAGGACCGGGAUGGACGUACCUCUGGUGUACCAGUUGUCCUGCCAAGGGCAUGGCUGGGUAGCUAUGUACGGAAUGGAUAAGCGCUGAAAGCAUCUAAGCGCGAAG
rnacentral:rRNA from 1 species